rnacentral:misc_RNA from 1 species
AGGAUAUUAUCUGAGUAUUUGACAUAUGGAAUUAUUUUACAAUGGCUGGACUAUAGAUAUCUUCAUCUCCAGGCAGUUGAUUAAGAUCUUCAAAUAAACUUUUAGGAUUGAUAAACAUGAUGCCUUAAUCUUUUUGGCAUUUUCUCUCACAAUUUUACUCAGUUCGCAUUCCAGGAUUAUAAAUAAACUUGAUUGCUUCAUGGCUUACAUGGUCUGUUCUGAUUCAAAUGUUUCUUAUUAUUCCUUUUUGUUAAUCCAACCUUUUUUUUCCCUACGUUGUAGUCUUUGUGCAAUUCUAUCUCUAG